CCUACGGGGUGCAGCAGUGAGGAAUAUUGGUCAAUGGACGAGAGUCUGAACCAGCCAAGUAGCGUGAAGGAUGACUGCCCUAUGGGUUGUAAACUUCUUUUAUAUGGGAAUAAAACGUUCCACGUGUGGGAUUUUGUAUGUACCAUAUGAAUAAGGAUCGGCUAACUCCGUGCCAGCAGCCGCGGUAAUACGGAGGAUCCGAGCGUUAUCCGGAUUUAUUGGGGUUAAAGGGAGCGUAGGUGGAUUGUUAAGUCAGUUGUGAAAGUUUGCGGCUCAACCGUAAAAUUGCAGUUGAAACUGGCAGUCUUGAGUACAGUAGAGGUGGGCGGAAUUCGUGGUGUAGCGGUGAAAUGCUUAGAUAUCACGAAGAACUCCGAUUGCGAAGGCAGUUCACUGGACUGCAACUGACACUGAGGCUCGAAAGUGUGGGUAUCAAACAGGAUUAGAUACCCUAGUAGUC
rnacentral:rRNA from 1 species